GGCACAGUGGUGCAGUGGGUAGCACUCACAGCAAGAAGGUCCUGGGUUUGAAUCCCGGCCUGGGCCU
rnacentral:tRNA from 1 species